CAACACUGUUGCUCAGUCUGAGACACACUGUGAGGAAGCUGCCAGGAGGUUGCUAUAGUAACUGUUCUGCUUUCAAGAGCUAUUUUCCUGGUUUGAGGGGAGAUGGAGAAGGCCAAAAAAAAAAAAAAAAAACCCAACCUGGAGAAAACUAGGCAGCCUCUGACGAGAGUUCAGAUAAAGAAGGUCACAGUAAUUUUCUGGCACUGACUAAAAUAACCAAGCGGAUGUGGGAGUUACAAAGCAACAAAAGAGAAAUAGGUGAAGUAGAAGGGCAAUAAUUAAAUUAUUUGGUAAUGUUCCUAAAUUAGAGCAUUUCAGAUUUAUAUCAGCGCAGAUCAUCUGGAUAAUAUUUUAUGAAUCUUUUCAUUUUUCAUCCUGAGUUACAGUAAUUUAAACACAAAAGGCUAGAUUCUGAGCUCAACUUUGCCAGUUUAAAUCUGGAGUAAUUCCAACAAUGCCUAUUAAGCUUCCCUGGAUUUGCACUGGUGUAACGGAGAGAAGAAUGUGGCCCAGAAUACCUAAUUUUACGAAAGCAUGGAACAAAGGUGGAGGCUAAAGGCUGUAAUUCUAACAUCUGCAAACCAUUUUCUGAAACGGUCUUUCAACAAUCAAGAGUAUGUUGGAAACAAGGAACAAUCUGUCUCUCUCCGCAGGCUUCGGCCACUUCUGAGUAGUGGGCCUAAAGAGCAGGUGUGACAUCACACACGCUUUACACUUUUCCUGCGUCCAUCGGCUGGAAAGAAAAGUUGUACUUGGAUGGGUGGAUAUAAUAAGACAUGUGGAGAAGCCAAAUUAACAGAACUGACAGCUGCAGAGGCCACAGGGAAAGGAGCUGCAAUAUUCAAGGCAAGAUGAGAUAAGUAUUGGAAGAGGAUUCCAGCACGGUUAGAGUUGAUGAAAUGGCUUACAGAGUUGCAGGGGUGGUAACAGGCAAAUUUAUAGAUGGAAGAGAUGUGAGAAGAGAAAAAAGUGAGUUGAAUGUCUGAGAUGAUACUAAAAUUAUAGAUAAAAGAGAUAAAGCAGAGGAUCUGGUUUGAAAAGGGGAACAAAGUUUGAUGACACUUCUCUUCACUAAGAUGUCAGGAAUGCAGCUGCCUCUGGGCUCGGUUGCCGAGCAAACCAAUGAGCUCAUCUGAGUGUUAUAAACCCUCACUAUGUUUUCAAUGCACUAAAACACCCACAGCUGGUCCAUGCCAGCUGACUCAGGCUGCAGGGCUAUAAAACUGCAGUAUAGACAUUCAGAGUCAGGAUAGAACCCUUCCCCUUCGCAGAGCCCAAGGCCCAGCCUGAGCCCUUACACUGCAAUUGGAUAGCCUUGAAGCCUGAUUCUGAGCCAGCUGACAUGGGCCAGGUGUGUGUCUUUUAUUGUGCUUCCUAAUGGGUCAGAAGAGCCAACAGAUCACCAUUUAUUUUUUGUAGCAACAGCAGCACAGCAGCUGCUCAAUGCAUUCCACACCUUCAGACCUGCUUCCUGCCCAGCCCUUGCUCCAACCCUGGCAAGCUCCGCUUCAGCCCUAGUUCCUGCCUACUUCUGAUUCCAGACUUAUGGGUCUGACCACUGGCUUGUCUCCUGACCAUAACUCCAAUUCUGCCCUUUGGUUCUGUUCUGGUUCCUGGUUCUAGAUCACAGGCUUGCCUCCUGACCGUGCCUCUGAUUCUGCUCUGACCACUAGGUCAGACUCCUGCUCUGAUCCCUAGGUUGCACUGGCUACACCUUGGUGUGUGACACAAAAGAAGUAUUUGUGCUUCUGAAACAUCUAGAGAAGGAAAUUCAGACAAAAGAAGUCUGAUGAAGAAGAAGAAAAACAUGUAUGUUCCUACAUUUCUGCUAUAAAUUUCUCCAUAUCUCUCCUUAGUGCUCACAAAAAUGAUUCUUUGUAUAGAACUGUAGAAUCAUUGGACCCAUGCAAAAACAAAGGAAGAAUAAAGCUUCUGUAGUUGGGCAUUAUCAGAAAGAAAUACUCUGUAUUCUUCUAUCUAAGUUUAUUUUUGUAUAAAUGUGGUAGAAACCUAAAAAAACCAACAACCACUCAUUAGAUGGAGUUUUCAAAUGUAAAUAAGUCAGUAUAGUUAAACCAAUUUACCUUAUUCCAAUUGUAUAUAUUCACACUGUUGCGACUGCACUAUUACAAGCUUCCUUGCAUUUAUGCCAUGUACUGUGCUGUACUAGAUCAAUUGUUGUCCAUCAUAUGGAUGGGUACCCCAGGUUACUGGCACUGCUCCCAGGCCUGCUGCAUUCCUAGCAAUUUUCAUACUAGAAUGUGGGAUAAAUUCAGGAAGCUAGAGGAACUGCGGGAAGAGUGGUGAAUCUCUUAUAAUUCUCCCUGCUGUGUCUCAGAACUCACUUGGGUGCCUCUGCCAUUACCAGACUGUGCCCAUAUUUUACAUAAGCCCAGACCAUCAGGCUUUGUGUGCACAUGUAAAUACAAUGAGCAAACUUUUGGUCUGAUCCAAAUACCACUGAUGUUAAUGGGAGUCUUUCAGACCCUUAAAAGUGAAUUCAGUUUUUAGAUACUUCAAAUGUCUCCUUUGUACUAACAAUGGAGAAUACCACUAGAAUCAGUAAUCCGGAACUGCUAUGAACUUUUUAAGUGUACCCACUGCAUGUGUGUGCACAUUUAGGAAUUUUUGUACCUAAACUGGCCUUAUAAAAGAUGUGCACAGAUAUUUUUAACAUAUAGUUCUCCUGUUUCUGGAGUGCAGCCCUUAAGAAUUAUUGAGGGUAAGAGCACAUGCAGCCAGCUAGAAUCAUCAUGGAACCAAAGGAUUUUGUUUCCUUCAGCUAAAUAAACCAGGCCUGAGAAAUCUACACUCUUAACUUCCUUAUUUUAUACCUUUUGGUAGGGGGUGAAAAUUCUAAGCUCGAUGGCUGACAUUGCUAGCACAGCAAAGGG